rnacentral:rRNA from 1 species
GACGAACCGUGCGAACGUUGUUCGGAUUCAUUGGGCUUAAAGGGCGCGUAGGCGACCGCUCAAGUCGGGGGUGAAAUCUUUCAGCUCAACUGGAAAAUAGCCUCCGAUACUGGGCGGCUGGAGGGAGAUAGGGGUGCGCGGAACUUCCGGUGGAGCGGUGAAAUGCGUAGAUAUCGGAAGGAACGCCGGUGGCGAAAGCGGCGCACUGGAUCUCAUCUGACGCUGAGGCGCGAAAGCCAGGGGAGCAAACGGG